rnacentral:tmRNA from 1 species
GGGGCUGAUUCUGGAUUCGACGGGAUUCGCGAAACCCAAGGUGCAUGCCGAGGGGCGGUUGGCCUCGUAAAAAGCCGCAAAAAAAUAGUCGCAAACGACGAAAACUACGCUUUAGCAGCUUAAUAACCUGCUUAGAGCCCUCUCUCCCUAGCCUCCGCUCUUAGGACGGGGAUCAAGAG